ACCGAACUGCUUUCCCCACUUUCUAUCAGAGCAUCGCUCCACGACUUGAUCGUCGGACGCAAAGUGACGGGUUCCUGUGCAGCGUACCUAUCGUGAUGGAAAUUUGUUCCUUUGGUGGUGCCUUUCAUCCCGGYGUCCCCUUGGACGCUACGGUUGAACUAGAUGGCGGGGCUCGUGCUCCACGGGCAUCUCACGAGAUCGGCCCCGAUGGAACUCGAGCGCUUUGCUUGUCCUCUCGGAUGCGGAAUGUGCCUCGCGGGCGUGGGUCAUCGGCCCUCGGUACCGAAUGUUGAAGCGUUCGAUCGCUGUCCCAACGGAACGACGCUCUCGCCUUGUCCUUGACCACGUGGAGCCCUCGGGCUCGUAUCACUGUGGAUCAUGCUCGGCGGACGUCUUGAAGGAAUGC
rnacentral:misc_RNA from 1 species